CUACUUGUUGCGUAACAUAAUCAACUACCGACCAUCCCUAAAGCAAGUGGCAAAGGGUUUGGUAGUUGAUAUUCGAGACCCAAGUUCGAAUCUUUAUUGAUUCAUAUUUGCAGCUAAAUUUAUUUCUAAAUAAAAUAAACGAAGCGGGUAGCGUGCUAUCUAUCUCUCUCUCAAAAAAAAAAAACUACCAACCGUCCCUAGCGCAAGUCGCAAAGGGCGUGGUGGUUGGUAUUCGAGACCCCAAAAUCGAAUCCUAGUUGAUUCAUAUUUUCAACUAAGUUUAUUUUUAAAUGAAAUAAACAAACCGAUUAUCAUGCUACCUAUCACUCAAAAUAAUAAUAAUAAUAAUAAUCAACUCACUGCGUGAUAGAAUUUGUUCAUUGUUUAAUACAAAACAGUUUACUAUACAGAAGGAUCUACUCAUUGUGUAACAUAAUUAUUUUACGGCUAAAUUACAUAAAACCAUCCUUUCAAAGCCCUAUUUUUCACUUUUCCUCCCUAUCAUUUAAAAGCCUACACUUUGACCAUUUGUAAAAUGAAAAAUGUUCGCUUCGCCCCCUUGCCAUUAGUAAACCGUUAGGGUUUCAUUUAUAAAAUAUUAUUAUAUAUUUUUUUAUGCCUAAAAUACCCUCAGCCUUCUUUCUUAUGAACAUGGUGAGGGGCAAAAUGGUCAUUUUAUCAUCACAGUUCACGCCGUACUUCCCUGUGAACAUUUUUUAUUUUACAAGGGGGCAAAGUGUAGGUUUUAAAAUGACAGGAGGAAAAGUAAAAAAUCGGGUUUUGACAGGAGGGUUUUCUGUAAUUUAGCCUUAUUUUACAAUGCAAUUCAUAUUGUUUACUAUUUAAUUUAAAUAGUUUAAUA
rnacentral:lncRNA from 1 species